CCUCGUGCAAGGCUGAUCCUUGUGCGAGGCCCCCGAUUGUACGAGCGAGAUCCUCGUGUGACGUCCUCGUGCAAGAUCCUUGUGCGAUGUCCUCGUGCAAGGUCCUCGUGUGAGGCUCACCCUCAUGCAAAUUCCUUGUGCAAGGGGUCCUUGCAUGAGACUUGUCCUCGUGCAAGGUCCUCGUGUGAGGGUCAUCCUUGUGCGAGAUCCUCGUGCAAGGACUUCAUGCGAGGCUUGUCUUGUGCAAGGCUCAUCCUCAUGCCAGCUCCUUGCACGAGGCCCAUCCUCGUGCGAGAUCCUCGUGCAAGAUCUUCAUGCAAGGCUCAUCCUUGUUCAAGGCUCAUCCUCGUGCCAGCUCCUUGCACGAGGUUCAUCCCCACGCGAGGUCCUCGUGCGAGAGGCCCCUCCUCGUGCAAAUCUCC